GUAAUUAGUCCUUAGGUCUCAAUUAAGCCCUUCGCCGUGGGUCCCACCCUGUUUCUGCUGUCGCUCCUCCCCUUCCGAUGCAGUCUGGCUGUUUUCCUGGCAGGGAUGCUGCCACAGCUCGGGAUCUCUGCAAGCUGGGGCUCUGGGGAGUGCUGGAAUCUGGGUCUUGGGUACAACCACCCAGACACCAGAUGGGCUGGGAGCAGCUGACGUGGCACAGAGCGUUUGUCUUCCUUCUUGCUUUUCCCAAGGAUGCAGUGCUGGAGCAGCCCCUCUCACACAGCCUUGUGCCUGGAAAGGAAAAGGAAGGAGAAGAGGAAGCAAAACUGCGACAGGAGGGAAUCAGACCAUGGACAUGUUGGAAGCUGGAAUAUACAUCUUGCAUUACAAAGUGCAAAAUACUACAUGCUCAGAGCCCAAGCAUGAUGUCUGAAACAGUCCACAGCAAGAUGUAAGAGACAAACCCACCACCCUCUCCCUCCUCUCUGGGACAUGCUCCAGGUGCUCCUCCCCAGGUGCCUUUGAGAAACAGUUGGAUUUUUGCUUGGUUUUGUUUUAUUGUCAUCCUCAGUGGAUUGGAAUUGAGCCCUCUGUCCCCUGGACCUCCCCACCCUGCUCCCUGUGCACAUUUUUUGGGAUGGGCUGGAUGCUCCUCACCAGCACGGCACCACCAGCCACUCCGUCUGUGCUGCUGGAGGUGCCUCCAAGGUUUUUUUUGGAGGAAUUUUUAGCCAGGAGAAAUUGGCUGUGAAUUAAAAGUAGCUCUGGGUGGUUUUCCUGCCUUGCCAUGGGUGAGGAGCAGCCUGGGGAGGAGGAGUGAAGGCAGGAGGGUGCUGGGGCUGCUGCUCACACCUCGUGUUCCCUAUUCCCCCCUUGCCCCGAAGAAUUCUGCAAAAAGCCAAUUUUUGUUUUAAAAACAAGGAUCAGAACAGGGCCUGUUCUGCCAUUUUCCCAUCCAGACAGGGUUCAUUCCUUCCCUGUGCUCCUUCUCUCCUCCUUCUCACAGCAGCAUUCCUCCAUUUCCAAAAGGUGAAAAGCCUGAUUUUGCUUUUCUCUCCCAUUUAUCAUUAAAGCUGUUGUGCAUUUUCCUGGGAAACUCAGCCUGGAGCAUCCCAGAACCCGUGCCCACUCCACCCAAACUCUCCCCAUAGUCCCCUCGUCUCAUCUCCAUUUUGGGGUUCAUUGCUGUUGUUACAAAGACAAUUAUUUCCUUUUGGGGGGGGGGGUGAAGGGAAGGGAAACGAGGUUUUUUCUUUUGUUGGGAUUCCUUCUCAUCCUUCCCAGUGUUGGGGGGGGCAGAGUGUUGAUAGCAUUUUGCCAUGCCACACAGCAUAGUGUUAUACAAGCAAAGAAUUUUGGCUAAAAUCCAAAAAACAUUACCCAGGAAAAAAGGCAAACUGUGAGUGAGACUCGAUCAUUUGUUGUUCUUCUGUGAAAAGACUUGGAAAUUGUCAGAGGACAGUUCGAGUUACGAUUUUUCCCUUUGUUUGUUUUUUUGUUUUGUUUUGUUUUGUUGUUGUUGUUGUUUGGUUCUGGUUUUUUUUUUUGUUUGUUU